ensembl:lncRNA
GUGUUUCACGAUUCACAAGUUUGGUCUUGUUGGUCCCACUUUAUACAGCAAUUCAUAUGUAUCCACUUUUAUAGCAAUGAAACAAUUCAAAUCAAAAUCUAUCUUUUGAAGAAAUCAGAUUUUAAGAGGACUUUCCUCAUUCAAUCAAUCCUUUGCCUGAAAGCCGUCAUGCCAUAGUAGUUUUAUCAAUAAUUUUAUGGUUGUUGUUGCAAAUACAAACAUUUGCCCGAGUAUCAGAAUUAAACCAGUUUCUAGGAAAAUAUGCUCUUUUGAGUGUUGGUUUAAUAACCCUCUUGUGUUAAAGUCAUGAAAAGCCGCAUAAAAACAGAAGUAAUAUGGCUACCCCGAUAUCUGUGUGUGUGUUUCAAAUAUUUUUAUUGUUAAAAGUCAUUUAUAUAACAACAAAUAAGAAACGUGCCAAAGGCCAACUAAUGUCAAUUUUUUAAACACACAUUUACAAAACACUUGUAUAGGGCAGGUGUAGGCAGAUGAAAAUAAAAUACAAAAUAAAUAAUAAAAGCAUCUAGAGCAUUCAAAACAGUAUUUUAAAAUCAGGUAGGAGUUGGUUCUAGUGGUCUUCCAAUGUUGGAUCGUGAUCAGAGAGCUAUAGCACAAUUUAAAUUCUUGAAUAAAACAUGCAAAUGAGGGCUUAUUCAUUAAUAAAACAUGCAAAUGAGGGCUUAUUCAUUAAUAAAACAUGCAAAUGAGGACUUAUUCCCACAGUCUCACUGAUGAAUCUAUUGUGUCAUGACUCUUCUAUUGCCUAUGAAAUAUCUGGCCAAUGGCAGCCAUGCACAUGCUCAUUUCAAUCCUGCUCACUAUGGCAAAUAUAUAAAAACAAACUUCUGCUGCUGUUUAAAGACUGAACAUGUCUGAUGCUGCUUCACUGAGAAACUGAACUGAAACAGAACUAAAACUUGCUGGGUCUGAAACUGUUCUGUGGAAGGGCUGCUCUGCCAGUCACACAACAAUGAAGGGAAUCAAAACACCUGUUUGUGCUGCUCCUCUGAGGCCCAUCCACCCGUCUCUGCUGCUGUGUUUGGGCUGUGUACAACUGGCACCUACUCUCUCAUCUACUCCACUGAAAUAGUUAGCUUUUAAUCAGAAGUUCACAUACACUU